GCUGACCAGGUGGUCCCACAUAUCAGGUAGAAGGGGGAGAAAUUUAUUCAAACCGUUUAUUUCCUCUGUUCAUCCUCUCUCUCUAGAGUUCUUCUCUCUCUCCUCCGCUCUGGGGGCAUCCGCUUGAAUCCCCACCAUCGGCGCGCAGAUCUGGACCCCGGAAGAGCAUUUUCGGAGGGGUUGAAGCACAACUAUGUCCUAGGUCAUCAGAGAGGGCAUUUGGAUUCGGGGACGACAGGAAGCGCAGAUCAAAUUAGAUGAUCGAAAUCCCGGGGUGAUUUCGCAACCAUCGGCAGUUCGUGGGGUUGAGGUUCUCUCCAUGAUCCUGGUGCAGCGAUCAGUGAGCGCAUCUGGAAUCCGGGAUGCCUGGAAGCGCAAAUCAUCAACAGCUCGCGGCUCUUUGUGAUCUGAUAUGAUGGAAGCUUAGGUCAGAAUCAGGUUUUUCAGUGUUGGAAACGAAGUUUUGCGGCGGGGGGGGGGGGGGGGGGGGUGUUCACAUCCAGCGGAAAAAACGCAUAAGCUGAGUCAACUAGAUGCUUCUUUCCCUCUCAAAGAAGCAUGUGCUAUAUGAUUUUCUGGAUAUUUUUUAGGCUGACGAUAGCCCAACGAUCAUAUAUCAGGUUGAACGAAUAGGAACGAAUAGGCUGGUGCUUUUUACUUAGGUUAUGGUGUUUCUUUACUUAGGCUGUGUCUUCGACUUAUUGUAUAUUAGCUUUUUCUGAUUUAACAAAACAACUCAUGUUGUCAUUUGUUAGUUCAGCAGACGUGUUUUCAUAAGUACAUAUAUAGUUAUUCUAGUUAUUUUUCAUAGACAUAUCUAGUUAUUUUGAACAUGCCUAGUUAUUAGCUUUUUCUAUUCUGAUAAUUUAUUUUGAACAUGUCUACUUGUUUCUGAACAUGUCCAUAUAUAGGUGUACAGCAUCCCUGAAUAAAAUAUGCUUACCUUUCUGAACAUAAUUGCUUAAGCGAACAUACUUGUUCUGCUAUGAAAAAUUGUUAAUAGAACUAGAGUUGAUAGAAAGGGCUGAGUUUGUGUGUUUCAUCUCUCACUCUGCAAAUCCUACAAUCCCUUUGGCGUGGUGGUCUCCUUGAUGCACCUGACUUAGCCAUUGGCUCGCCCACUAUCACUACUUCAUUUGGUAAUGUGCAGUUUUUUCCAAACACACGCCAAUUACAAUGCCAAGAGCACAGAAGCACAAAUUUGUGCGACAUCAUCCAAUGCAGUAUAUUUUUUUCUCUCCUCUUUUUUCCUACAGUACUAUUAUGCGGUGGUUAGGCAAUAAUUUCUUUUUAGCAGAGGCAAAUUUAUGCAUCUCAUUAGGCAAUUUCAUUGAAUAUUUAAUUUACAUUACCCCCAAGUCAUAUUCAGGUUAAAAGAAUCCCCCACCUUAUAAUUUGCUAUCAUCGAAUUCAGCGGCUGACUUGGCUUCUUUUUUUCUCCCCUCCCAUGCCCUUCCUUGUUACGACAAACACAAUUUUCCUGUUGUUCCCUUGUUAAACCUGAGAGGCGUGAAGUUUUCGUAUGAAUUGAGAACCCAAUCCACUUCACAUACGAGUUGUAGAUUGAAUCCUGCGCCUUCUUGCAUAGUGCAAAAUAAGUGUGCGGCGUUGGAGGUGUUGACCAAAUCUCUUCCACAAUUGCUACAACUUAGGUGUUAUCAGCAAUUGCCUGCGUAUCCUAGGUGUUUUCAGCUAGAUUGUUGCCAACAUCAGCUAAAUUAUUGCCAACAGAAACUGUAUCAUCGGAAACUGCUGCUGGCUCUUGAUUUGGAACAUGCUCAAUAUCAUGUACUGCUCCCUCUCCAACUAUUGCCUGAGUGCAAUAGAGUGGAUUUGCAUCUGACACAUCUAGAAAAUUAUAAUCAAAUUCUGGUGGAAGCUCGUUGAAGUCCAUUUUUAUCGUCUAUAUCCCUUGGGCUACUAUUCAGCAAGUCACAAACUGAUUAGACAGCAGCAACACCAGAGCGUUUUUUUACAUGCAUCGAAAGCAACUAAAUGUGAAUCAUCAGGCAAUAAUGUACUGUUAAACAGGCAGAUCAGUUAUUUUAUUCAGACAUUUCCUGUAUGUCAACUUUUUCUAGUUUGUUCAGCAUCACAAUCAAUCUAAUCAAGCAUUUUUAUCCGCAUUCAAUCAGGCUCUACAGCAAUGGAUUCAAAUUAGGUUCUACAUCAGUGGAUUCUACAAGAACACAUUUCUCCAGAUUCUUACGCACACGGUUUAAUUUUGGUGCUGUAGCAAUUCGAUUGUAAUUCAAAGAUAAAUUGUUUUUGCAUUUGUGGAGAAUUUUUUUCCAUGGAUCUAUCUUGUUGCUGGAACUUAGAAACAAAUUUGCAGAUGAUGGCAGCAUAAAAAGACUUUUUCGAUC